AUAGACAUGAUAAUCCUUAUAAGACAGAUAGUAAUUAACUAGAUGGAAUAAAGGAAAGUGAAGUUUCAGACAAAAGAGUCAAUAUUUAUAGAAUUGUUAGGUAUAUAUUUUAGAGGAAACAUUUUCAAGUGCUAUUGAGGAUAAAUCUGGAGGAAGUUAGAUUAGUGUGGAGCUAAUGCAGUAGUCGAGGCAGAAAAUGAUGAGGGAUUAAACUAACACGCUGCCCAGAAAUCAAGGAACUGACUUGAGAGCUAGCAUAACAUUGGAAUUAAUAGGAGAGUGUUACUACCCGGAAGAGUGAAGGAUGCAGUGCAGUCUUGGGUAGCAUAGAUGCUUUAGUUCGGAGUUAUUAGAUGGACAACCAUGCCAUUCCCUGAGAUAUCCAACAGGAAGAAGAUAGGCUUGGGUGGAAGAUGAUGAGUUUUAGAUCUAUUGAGUAUGUACUAUUUGUGGAAGAUACGUGUGAAGAGGAUGAUGAGGCAGUGACAUACUCAUUUUUCUCCUCUGGCCUUUGUGGAGCAGUUGCGGAGAUUGAGGAACCACCCUCUGAAAGGAAAGGAAAAGAAAAAAAACUCAUCCCCCACCCCUUUUUUUCCCUUUUCACUGCAACAAAACUCUUCUGUCGGUGGGAUUCUCCAAGCAAGAAUACUGGAGUGGGUUGCCAUGCCCAUCUCCAGAGGAUCUUCCCAACCCAGGGAUCGAACCCGCAUCUCUUAUGUCUCCUGCAUUGGCAGGUGGGUUCUUUACCACUAGUGCCACCUGGGAAGCCUAUCUCCUAUACUUAGAAAAGUUAA
rnacentral:lncRNA from 1 species